rnacentral:rRNA from 1 species
AACGAACGCUGGCGGCGUGUUUAAGACAUGCAAGUCGCACGGGAUAAGACAUGUAGUAAUACUUGUUUUAUUUAGUGGCGCACGGGUGAGUAACACGUGAAUUACAUGCCCUAUAGUGGGGAAUAGCCCAGGGAAACUUGGAUUAAUACCCCAUGGUAUCGAAAGAUUAAAGGUGGCCGCAAGGCAGUCGCUAUAGGAUUGGUUCGCGCCCUAUCAGCUUGUUGGUGAGGUAACGGCUCACCAAGGCAAUGACGGGUACCUGGUCUGAGAGGACGAUCAGGCACACUGGAACUGAGACACGGUCCAGACACCUACGGGUGGCAGCAGUCGAGAAUAAUUCACAAUGGGGGCAACCCUGAUGGUGCAACGCCGCGUGGAGGAUGACGGUCUUCGGAUUGUAAACUCCUGUCAUCUGGGAGAAAGACCUGACGGUAAAUAGCCGGCAGGGUUGAUAGUACCAGAAGAGGAAGGGACGGCUAACUUCGUACCAGCCGCCGCAGUAA